GUACACCUGGAAAAAAAACAAAAAGUAAAUCAAAAUGUGUUUUAUACAGCCCUUUUCACAUCAGCAGUUGUCACAAAGUGCUUUACAGAAUUGUUUUACUUUUUACCUUUAUUUAACUAGGCAAGUCAGUUAAGAACAAAUUCUUAUUUUCAAUGAGGGCCUAGGAACAGUUGGUUAACUGCCUGACAGAGUUGUACCUUGUCAUCUCUGUGAUUUGAACUUGAAACCUUUUGGUUACUAGUACAAUGCUCUAACCACUAGGCUACCCUGCCGCCCCAGCUAUGCAGUAUCACGCCUACUUCUGGCAACCCACAUUGCGCACACUUGCUCCCCAUCGUUACACACACCUGGACUUCAUCACCACCCUGACUACUCUCCCUUCAUAUAGCCCUCAGUAGCUUCUGUCAUCAGGCAAUAUUGGUUUUGGUUACGUUCAGUACGCUGCUUCUGUUUUGUAGUUUCUUCAUGUUUAUUAUUAUUAAACUCAACUUCUGCUUCCUGAUUCUCUGUGUAUACAUUACAGAAAACUGCCUCUCAAAAACAAAGAAGCAGCAGAAGUUAAGGAUAUCUCCUAUAUAGUCAACGAACAGGAACACCUACUGCGUCAACACCAUGAUCAGCUGGGUUCGGGUAAUGGAUGAGGUCCUUCACAUUCUCCACCACCUCGACAACACCUGAGAAGAUUGAUCUCCAACUAGUGGAGGACCAUGAUUCGUCCCAGUGAGCCAGUCCGCCAGCCCAUCCAGCGGUCCGCCCAGGUCAACGAUGCCCUGUUGUCCCUCCCGGUCAAAUAUGGCGGGACUCCAUCGAAAUGCCGAGGCUUCCUACUCCAGUGCUCUCUUUAUUUCACCCACCAGACAGGAGCCCCCACCACCGAGAGGUCCAAAGUUGCCAUGGUCAUUUCCCUGUUGACCAGACAGGCUUUGGAGUGGGCUACGGCCGUCUGGGAGAGAGGAGAGGAGGAGCUGAGUGCCUAUGAGAGGUUCAUGGCUCUGUUCAGGGAGGUCUUUGAUCAUUCCAUCUGAGGGCAGAGAGGAAGGUGAGCGACUACUCUAACUCCGGCAGGGUACCCAGACCGCUGUGGAGUACGCCCUCACCUUCUGGACUGUGGCAGCCUCCAGCAGAUGGAAUGAGCCGACACUCCACACUUUAUUCUGAAGAGGACUGUGCAAAGAGGUCCAGACGGAGUUGUCAUGUCGGGAAGACAACCUUUCCUUGGACGUGCUCAUAGCGAUGACCAUCAGUCUGGAUAACCUUCUUUGAGAGCGCCAGCACCCUCCUCGUCUCUCACCUUCCUCCUUUUGUCAGCCUGAAACAGAGCUUGAAUCAAUGGAGGUACGGGCCACACACCUCCCCGCGACAGAGCGGUGUCGCCGGAGACGGCUGUUCCUAUUGUGGUCAGGAGGGGCAACAGCUUCAGCAGUGUCUGGUUCGUUCCAACCCGAGGUCCAAAGGGACCCGCGAUCAUCCAUCUCCCAGGGUAAUUCCAUCACAUCGCAGCACCAUUCAACAUCACCGUGGGACCCCUGCACUAAGAAAGCCUUCCCUCAUCACUGAAGCACCUGUACAUAAUCAUCCUCUGCCUCCUGUGGCUCCAACGUCACGGCCCCAUCCUCUCCUGGUCGAGGAUGGAGAUCACUGCUUUGGCACCCGGAUGUCGGAAGACCUGCUUUCCCUUACCCUGUGGUUCCACGUCAGUUGUGAGGCCUGUGCCCUCCAGCCCAACAUCCCGGAAGUUUACCAGGAUCUUCGGGAUGUUUUGUCCGAGACCCGCGACCUCUGUCUCCCUCCUCAUCACUCCUGGGACUGUGCCAUCGACCUGCUAGCAGACUCUGAUCCUCUGAGCAGCUGCGUCUAGCCCCUGUCGGUGGCUGAAACCAAGGACAUGGAGGAGUACAUCCCAGGAGGCUCUCCAACAGGCUUUCAUCCAUCUCCCCUGCAUUGGCAGGUUUCUUCUUCGUGGCCAGGAAGGAGGGAGGUCUACAACCGUGCAUCGACUACAAAGGUCUCGAUUCCAUCACCACCAAGUAACGCUACCCCAGUGAAAUUGCAGAGCACGAAAUUCGAACGACAGAACUAUAAAUAUUUAAUUUUCAUAAAAUCACAAGUGUAAUACAUCAAAAUAAAGCUUAACUUCUUGUUAAUCCA